rnacentral:rRNA from 1 species
GAAGCCCCGGCCAACUACGUGCCAGCAGCCGCGGUAACACGUAGGGGGCGAGCGUUGUCCGGAUUUAUUGGGCGUAAAGAGCUCGUAGGCGGCUCAGUAAGUCUACUGUGAAAGCUCCAGGCUCAACCUGGAGAGGCCAGUGGAUACUGCUGUGGCUAGAGUCCGGUAGGGGAGCGUGGAAUUCCCAGUGUAGCGGUGGAAUGCGCAGAUAUUGGGAGGAACACCAGCGGCGAAGGCGGCGCUCUGGACCGGAACUGACGCUGAGGAGCGAAAGCAUGGGUAGCAAACAGGAUUAGAUACCCUGGUAGUCCAUGCCGUAAACGUUGGGCACUAGGUGUGGGAUCCCGUCAACGGAUUCCGUGCCGUAGCUAACGCAUUAAGUGCCCCGCCUGGGGAGUACGGCCGCAAGGCUAAAACUCAAAGGAAUUGACGGGGGCCCGCACAAGCGGCGGAGCAUGUUGCUUAAUUCGAGGCAACGCGAAGAACCUUACCAGCUUUUGAC